rnacentral:rRNA from 1 species
UAGGGAAUCUUCCGCAAUGGACGAAAGUCUGACGGAGCAACGCCGCGUGAGUGAAGAAGGAUUUCGGUUCGUAAAACUCUGUUGUUAGGGAAGAAAAAAUGUAUAGUAACUAUAUACAAAAGAGACGGUACCUAACCAGAAAGCCACGGCUAACUACGUGCCAGCAGCCGCGGUAAUACGUAGGUGGCAAGCGUUGUCCGGAAUUAUUGGGCGUAAAGCGCGCGCAGGUGGUUUAGAAAGUCUGAUGUGAAAGCCCACGGCUCAACCGUGGGGGGUCAUUGGAAACUAAUAAACUUGAGUGCAGGAGAGAAAAGUGGAAUUCCUAGUGUAGCGGUGAAAUGAGUAGAGAUUAGAAGGAACACCGGUGGCGAAAGCGGCUUUUUGGCCUGCAACUGACACUGAGGCGCGAAAGCGUGGGGAGCAAACAGG